rnacentral:rRNA from 1 species
AUUGAACGCUGGCGGCAGGCCUAACACAUGCAAGUCGAACGGUAACAGGGAGAAGCUUGCUUCUUUGCUGACGAGUGGCGGACGGGUGAGUAAUGUCUGGGAAACUGCCUGAUGGAGGGGGAUAACUACUGGAAACGGUAGCUAAUACCGCAUAACGUCGCAAGACCAAAGAGGGGGACCUUCGGGCCUCUUGCCAUCGGAUGUGCCCAGAUGGGAUUAGCUAGUAGGUGGGGUAACGGCUCACCUAGGCGACGAUCCCUAGCUGGUCUGAGAGGAUGACCAGCCACACUGGAACUGAGACACGGUCCAGACUCCUACGGGAGGCAGCAGUGGGGAAUAUUGCACAAUGGGCGCAAGCCUGAUGCAGCCAUGCCGCGUGUAUGAAGAAGGCCUUCGGGUUGUAAAGUACUUUCAGCGGGGAGGAAGGGAGUAAAGUGAAUACCUUUGCUCAUUGACGUUACCCGCAGAAGAAGCACCGGCUAACUCCGUG